rnacentral:rRNA from 1 species
GACGAACGCUGGCGGCGUGCUUAACACAUGCAAGUCGAACGGAAAGGCCCUGCUUUUGUGGGGUGCUCGAGUGGCGAACGGGUGAGUAACACGUGAGUAACCUGCCCUUGACUUUGGGAUAACUUCAAGAAACUGGGGCUAAUACCGGAUAGGAGCUCCUGCUGCAUGGUGGGGGUUGGAAAGUUUCGGCGGUUGGGGAUGGACUCGCGGCUUAUCAGCUUGUUGGUGGGGUAGUGGCUUACCAAGGCUUUGACGGGUAGCCGGCCUGAGAGGGUGACCGGCCACAUUGGGACUGAGAUACGGCCCAGACUCCUACGGGAGGCAGCAGUGGGGAAUAUUGCACAAUGGGCGGAAGCCUGAUGCAGCAACGCCGCGUGCGGGAUAACGGCCUUCGGGUUGUAAACCGCUUUCGCCUGUGACGAAGCGUGAGUGACGGUAAUGGGUAAAGAAGCACCGGCUAACUACGUG